CUGCUUUUCUACUUUGGCCAGCACAGCCAUGCUUCUCUCCAGUGAAAGGAAUUUGGCAACUUUAGCAGUGUGACCAACUGCAUACAGCCAUGUCUGCAAAGCAGGUGGAAGCUGGCAUUCUGCCCAAGCCUGGCCAGACAGCUUCAUAAAUCCUGCCCUUACCGCAGCCCUGAAUUACUUUUCAUGACACAAAGCCAAGCUGUGUUAUUCACCUAAUGCCCCGAUUUACAGUUCCCAAGACAAAAGAACAUACAGAUAGAGUUUCAGGGCUCUGUUUGCCUUCCCGUUUAUCUAAAAGGUUAGUUUCAGGUCAAGCUCAAGAAACCUGACAAAUGGUGGUGAAUAAACCUAAAAAUAAAUUAAGUGCAAGUGGGAAACUUAAGCAUUCCUUGUGCUUAUGCCAAAAGAAAACUCAGCCCAAUUUACAUUCUUUUAAUAUCUGAAACAAGCAGCUGUUCUCUUAUUUGUGCCGUAUGACUGAUUAUGCUUCCCAUCAGCUUGUGUGCAUGUGCCUGCAUGUGCUUAUACAUAAGGCACAUGUGUACACACACACACACACAUACACACGUCUGUAGAGUCCCUGUUUAGGCAUUUGUUCUUGUGUCUUCAGGGGGUUAAUGGAAGACUUAAUUAGUUGCACUUUGAGAAAAGUACUCAUCUGAAACAAUGUCUUGGUGGCCCCAGAAUGCCACCCUAUGUCCUGUCAAGCCCAGGAAUACUAGGACUUCGAGUCAGAAAUCUCAUCACCCUAAAAACAAGAAAAUCAGCCCUAGGAGUGCAGGUUUCAAAGAAUUACAAGAUAAUGUUCUCAUCCAGGAUUUGCAAACAGGGCUGUGGUUCAUGGGUUCUCUGCUCCCUUGUGCCAGAAGCUACCCAGAACCGACAACCAGACUCAUGGGAUGGAAGAACAGAAAGAAUAAAAAACAAACGCCCACCUGUGACACAGAUAAAAGAGAAAGCAAGUGAGAGUGUCUUACCCGUGUGUGACUCUUCCAGCUGUGGAUAUAAGGAACUACUUAAGCGGCAAGCCCAUGACUCAAUUGCAAUGGAAAUCACAGAGCUGGUUUAAUGUUUAAAAAUAAAAAGGACCAUGUUCUUUCUGAGGUUGACCA
ensembl:lncRNA